AGAGUUUGAUUAUGGCUCAGGACGAACGCUGGCGGCGUGCCUAACACAUGCAAGUCGAGCGGAGACAUGCGACGGAUGCGAAGUUUCGGACGGAGUUGAAGAUGUAUGUUUAGCGGCGGACGGGUGAGUAACGCGUGAACAAUCUGUCCUUCACAGGGGGAUAACACAGCGAAAGUUGUACUAAUACCGCAUGAGACCACAGUGCCGCAUGGUACAGGGGUCAAAGGAGCAAUCCGGUGAAGGGUGAGUUCGCGUCCGAUUAGAUAGUUGGUGAGGUAACGGCCCACCAAGUCGACGAUCGGUAGCCGACCUGAGAGGGUGAUCGGCCACAUUGGGACUGAGACACGGCCCAACUCCUACGGGAGGCAGCAGUGGGGAAUAUUGGGCAAUGGGGGAAACCCUGACCCAGCAACGCCGCGUGAGGGAAGAAGGUUUUCGGAUCGUAAACCUCUGUCCUUGGUGAAGAGAAAGAGACGGUAGCCAAGGAGGAAGCCCCGGCUAACUACGUGCCAGCCGCGGC
rnacentral:rRNA from 1 species